UGGGGAAUAUUGCGCAAUGGGCGAAAGCCUGACGCAGCAAUGCCGCGUGAAUGAAGAAGGCCUUCGGGUUGUAAAGUUCUUUUAGUAGGGAAGAAAAAAAUGACGGUACCUACAGAAACAGCCACGGCUAAUCACGUG
rnacentral:rRNA from 1 species